AGAGGGUGCGAGCGUUGUCCGGAAUCACUGGGCGUAAAGGGCGCGUAGGCGGCCUGAUAAGUAGGGGGUGAAAUCCUGCGGCUUAACUGCAGGGCUGCCUCCUAGACUGUUAGGCUCGAGCACGGUAGAGGCAGAUGGAAUUCCCGGUGUAGCGGUGGAAUGCGUAGAGAUCGGGAAGAACAUCGGUGGCGAAGGCGGUCUGCUGGGCCGUUGCUGACGCUGAGGCGCGACAGCGUGGGGAGCAAACAGGAUUAGAUACCCUGGUAGUCCACGCCGUAAACGAUGGACACUAGGCGUCGGGGGGAGCGACCCUCUCGGUGCCGUCGCUAACGCAGUAAGUGUCCCGCCUGGGGAGUACGGCCGCAAGGCUG
rnacentral:rRNA from 1 species